AACGAACGCUGGCGGCAUGCCUAACACAUGCAAGUCGAACGAGACCUUCGGUCUAGUGGCGCACGGGUGCGUAACGCGUGGGAAUCUGCCCUUGGGUUCGGAAUAACAGUUAGAAAUGACUGCUAAUACCGGAUAAUGUCUUCGGACCAAAGAUUUAUCGCCCAGGGAUGAGCCCGCGUAGGAUUAGCUAGUUGGUGAGGUAAAGGCUCACCAAGGCGACGAUCCUUAGCUGGUCUGAGAGGAUGAUCAGCCACACUGGGACUGAGACACGGCCCAGACUCCUACGGGAGGCAGCAGUGGGGAAUAUUGGACAAUGGGCGAAAGCCUGAUCCAGCAAUGCCGCGUGAGUGAUGAAGGCCUUAGGGUUGUAAAGCUCUUUUACCCGGGAUGAUAAUGACAGUACCGGGAGAAUAAGCCCCGGCCUAACUCCGUGCCAGCAGCCGCGGUAA
rnacentral:rRNA from 1 species